rnacentral:rRNA from 1 species
UACGUAGGGUGCAAGCGUUAAUCGGAAUUACUGGGCGUAAAGCGUGCGCAGGCGGGCUCUUAAGUCGGUGGUGAAAUCCUGGAGCUCAACUCCAGAACUGCCUCCGAUACUGGGAGUCUUCGAGUCCGGGAGAGGUGAGUGGAACUGCGAGUGUAGAGGUGAAAUUCGUAGAUAUUCGCAAGAACACCAGUGGCGAAGGCGGCUCACUGGCCCGGUACUGACGCUGAGGUGCGAAAGCGUGGGGAGCAAACAGG